GGCAACUUGGCCGAGCGGUUAUGGCGCCAGUUUCAGGUUCACUUGACACACGCUUCACAAGAGCAUACUGGUUCGAAAGAGCGUGGGUUCGAAUCCCACAGUUGUCA
rnacentral:tRNA from 1 species